GAAAAGAUAUACUGUGCAAAUAUAAACCAAAAGGAAAUUAUAUAAUAACAGAUACAGUAAACUUGAAAGCAAAAGCGUUACUAGAAAUAAACAAGGGCACUUCAUAUCAACAAGUCCAAUUUACCAGGAAGUUUUAAAUUUUGUAUGCACUUGACUUCAAAUUAUACAGAGCAACAGAGCUACAAGGAAAAAAUAGACAAAUUCAGUAUCAUAAUAGAGAUUUAACAUACUGCUAUCAUUCACUGAUAGAGGAUACCUCUUUCAGAACCAGUAGACCCCCCGCCCCAAAAAAUUAGUAAGGAUAUAAAAAACUUAAAUAACGUGAGCAGCAAAUUUGAUUCAACAAGCAGAUAUAUAUAUAGUCACUAUGCUCCAAAACUUUAGAUUACAAAUUAUUUUCAAGCACACUUGGAACAUUUUAAAAACUGACCAUAUUGUGCUAUAAGGCAAAUUUUAACAAAUUUCAAAACACACAUGUAUUGAGCACCUGUUGUAUGCCCUGAACUGGGGAGAUAAAUGGAUGAGACAUGCUUCUGCUCUGAAGGAACCAUUUAAUGGGGGAGAGAGACCCUAAAAGAAUCAUGUCAACAUCCCCAUAGUACUCUCCCUGUAGAUCUCCCCAGGAAGCUGUGGAGAGGCAGGGAGGGUUGUUUUGUUUGUCUGUUUGUUUUUUUGCGGUAUGCGGGCCUCUCACUGUUGUGGUCUCUCCCGUUGCGGGGCACAGGCUCCGGACACGCACGCAGGCUCAGCGGCCAUGGCUCACGGGCCCAGCCGCUCCGCGGCAUGUGGGAUCUUCCCGGACCGGAGCACGAACCCGUGUCCCCUGCAUCGGCAGGCUGACUCAACCACUGCGCCACCAGGGAAGCCCAAGGCAAAGGUAUUUUUGAAUUCGGUUCACAGGUAAGAAAACCGAAUACCCUAAGGUCGUUUACAUUGUAAUGGCAGAAUCAGAACCUGAACUCCUAGACUAGAUUCUCAGCCUGCGCUGCUCCAACCCUUGCCUCCUCCCAUUCUUGGAGCCCCACUGCCAUGCGACUGCCUGAGUCCCAGCGAGGGGCCCACGCAGACUCUGUCCACCUCCACCUGCCCCAGCAUCUGCCACCCCAAGCGGAGUGGGCCCUCGCCGCCUCCUUCCACACUCCCUUCCAGCUGCGUUGUUUUGUGACCUCAUUUUCCCUUUACGACUGCCCUUGGACUUGAUUUCUGCAGAACCAGAAUGUGGCGGGGAGAGCAGCAUACCCCAUGCUGCCCUGACCUCCCCAGAAGUACCCCCCUUUCCCCUGUCACACUGUCCAUGGCCUCUUCUUGCAUCUCCCUUCCAGGUGCACCCGAGGAGGGUCCAAAAGCUCAGAAGUUAGAAACAAAUGAUAGUUGCCAGGGACCCACCCAUGGGAAUUGCGGGAGGACUCUGCAUCUGGACCGUGGAUUUAUUUUUCUUUUAAUUCUUCUGAAGAGCAGCUUAAACACUCAAGUCCUUGGCUUUAUUUACUCUUAUCAUUUCCUCUUAUCCGGAUUGCAGCAUCUGCUACGCCUGGUUCCCAGGCUCUCUGCUGUGAAACAGACUCUUGAGCUCACAGCCUUGAUCCGGGCAGAGGCUCUUCAAUGUUAAAAAACAAUAAUGGGGACUCCCCUGGUGGUCCAGUGGUUAAGAAUCUGCCUUCCAUUGCAGGGCACGUGGGUUCAAUCUCUGGUCGGGGAACUAAGAUCCCACAUGCCACGGGGCAACUAAGAGAGCCCAGGUGCCACAACUACAGAGCCCACGCACUCUGGAGCCCGUGCACCACAACUAGAGAGAAGCCCACGUUGCAACGAAAGAUCCUGCGUGCCGUAACUAAGACCUGACGCAGCCAAAAUGAAUAAAUAUUU
rnacentral:lncRNA from 1 species